rnacentral:rRNA from 1 species
UGGGGAAUCUUGGACAAUGGGGGCAACCCUGAUCCAGCCAUGCCGCGUGAGUGAUGAAGGCCUUAGGGUCGUAAAGCUCUUCGCCUGUGAAGAUAAUGACGGUAGCAGGUAAAGAAACCCCGGCUAACUCCGUGCCAGCAGCCGCGGUAAUACGGAGGGGGUUAGCGUUGUUCGGAAUUACUGGGCGUAAAGCGCACGUAGGCGGACCAGAAAGUUGGGGGUGAAAUCCCGGGGGCUCAACCCCGGAACUGCCUCCAAAACUAUUGGUCUAGAGUUCGAGAGAGGUGAGUGGAAUUCCAAGUGUAGAGGUGAAAUUCGUAGAUAUUUGGAGGAACACCAGUGGCGAAGGCGGCUCACUGGCUCGAUACUGACGCUGAGGUGCGAAAGUGUGGGGAGCAAACAGGAUUAGAUACCCUGGUAGUCCACACCGUAAAACGAUGAAUGCCAGUCGUCGGGUAGCAUGCUAUUCGGUGACACACCUAACGGAUUAAGCAUUCCGCCUGGGGAGUACGGUCGCAAGAUUAAAACUCAAAUGAAUUGA